rnacentral:rRNA from 1 species
UACGGAGGUGCGAGCGUUGUCCGGAAUCACUGGGCGUAAAGGGCGCGUAGGCGGCCUGAUAAGUAGGGGGUGAAAUCCUGCGGCUUAACCGCAGGGCUGCCUUCUAAACUGUCAGGCUCGAGCACAGUAGAGGCAGGUGGAAUUCCCGGUGUAGCGGUGGAAUGCGUAGAGAUCGGGAAGAACAUCAGUGGCGAAGGCGGCCUGGCUGGGCUGUUGCUGACGCUGAGGCGCGACAGCGGUGGGGAGC